AAUAGCAACGGGAAGCAGCGGUCGGCAAAAUAGACAUGGCGUCGAGCUCGUGGAAGGUUGCGCUGUUCGUUUUGGUAUGUUCUCUACAUAUCUGUUGUGGAGCUGAUCCCCAGCCCGAGCAGAUUCAUAUUUCAGCUACAGAGAACCCACAGAGAUGAUGGUCACAUGGGUGACAUUAGCAUAUACAAACUACACUAUUGUGGAAUACAACAAAGCUGGUUUUCCUCUGACAUUACGAGCGUCUGGUGGUGUUACUAAAUUUACUGACGGCGGAUCAGAACAUCGGGUGUUGUAUAUCCACAGGGUGAAACUGACAGGACUGGUUCCUGGUCAAAGAUAUGGUAUGUAAAUGUACUCAUUGAGUUGUUCAUCUGUACAUCUCUAAAAUCUGUGACUCAAGUCGGAAUAAAAUAAAUUUAGAAUUUGUGAACUUCAAGGAAGUCUUACGAGGACAUAGCAAUCACAUAAAUAUGUCAGCACUGACUAGACUCUCACAUGGCUCACUGCUCAUUGUUAUAAACUCUCUGGUUUUAUCCCAAGCAGGCUUUUUUUUUUUUAAAUAAAUGCACGCUCCUCUUGCAAGCCGGCUUCUUGCUUUAUUGUAGAUGUGAUGGUCUGCAAUCUUUUAAAAAAAUAUGUAAAGGACUGGCGAUGAAGGUUUCAUUAAGGUUUUCAAGAGGAAGGCAAAUUGUUUUCACAGGCAGGUACAACUGUUUGAAUUGAAGAUUUCAAUGCAAGAAAUAAGAAUUCCCAAAGAUGUCAUAUCAGAUGGCAAAGUCAUUCUCACAGCUGGUCAGGUUUCCUAGUGCCCAGCCCUUAAUGACAUCUCUGACUGUGUCUUGAUAUACAAAUUACCUUCAAAUUGUUAGAGACCUUGAAUCAAUAGUUCGCCAGAGUAGGAAAUCAUCAAAUGAAAGAGUUAGCAAUAGUUCAGAAAAGAAUGGUGAAGGAUAGGGAAAGAUUAGGAGUGGCAUAGCUCUCUGCAAGAAAUGCCACCUUUCUAGUAACUGCUUCCACUGCUUCCACUGUUGUCAGAGUUUCAUUUUGUUAUAGGCACCUCUAUUCUAAUAUGCACUCCUUCCAAUAAUUCCCCCCUGCCCCUGUUAACUUUGUCCCAUUGAAGACAUUGACAUGAAGUGUAAAUACUGUCUAAUAAUUAUCUACAAGACAGGGUUAACCCUGCGAUGGACUUGCUAACCAACCGAGGGAAGUAGAAAUAAUCUACUCCCCUAAUGCUACAAAACCAGGAUAAGCGUCACCUCUAUGGACCGUUUAGCUUGAUGCAGAAUUCUUAAAUAAUAUAUCAGACUCAAGAUUGUUUUUCAUUCAAUUUCCUAACACAUUGUUCCUAA
rnacentral:misc_RNA from 1 species